rnacentral:rRNA from 1 species
GACGAACGCUGGCGGCGUGCUUAACACAUGCAAGUCGAACGGUAAGGCGCCAGCUUGGUGGGGUACACGAGUGGCGAACGGGGGAGUAACACGUGGGGGACCUGUGCUGCACUGCGGGAGAAGACUGGGAAACUGGGUCGAAUAUCGGAUAGGACCAUGGUGGGGAUACUGUGGUUGAAAGAUUGGUCGGUGUGGGAUGGGACCGCGGCCUAUCGGCUUGUUGGUGGGGGAAUGGCCGAUCACGGCGGAGACGGGUAGCCGGCCUGAGAGGGUGAACGGCCACAUUGGGCCUGGGGCACGGCCCAGACUCCUACGGGAGGCAGCAGUGGGGAAUAUUGCGCGAUGGGCGGCAGCCUGAUGCAGCGUCGCCGCGUCGGGGAUGACUGCCUUCGGGUUGUAACCUCCUUUCGCCAUCGACGAAGGGUUUCUGACGGUAGCUGGAGAAGAAGCACCGGCUAACUACGUG